GAAUAAUCAACCAUGGCUUAAAAUGAUGUACCAUGCCAUAGAAUGAAGAAUGUUUCUAGAUAUUUUGGGGGUUGAUAUUUUAGCUUUACAAAAGGUAAGUGCUCCUUUUAUGCUACAAUAUUUCUAAAAAUGAAAUGGACUGUGGGAGGUAUAUCAUAGUAGCCAGAUUUUAUCAAAACUAUCACAGAGUAUCUGUCAAGGUCAACAGCUAAUGCAGAAGUUUUAUUCUUAGUUCUGCUACAAAGAUGGGGAAAAAAAUUGUUUAAUUAAAGGAAGGUGAUAAAUUAAAUCCCUUGUAGGAUUUCUGAAGUUCUCUUUUUGAUCGUAAAAUGUCUUUACUAGAGCAACUUGUUAGUUCAACAUUCCUACAUAAAAAUAUUCAUAUUUCCUUAGCUAUAUCCAAAUCUUCAAAAUAGUUUUUAAAGUUUUCCUUGCAGAGUGGGAAUACCAAUGAUGCAGCACUCCUCUGGAUUUAGAUUUCAUUCAAAUUCUAAUAGGGUGAAUAUUCCUAGCCAAAAUUCCUUCUAAUCCCAACUCCUAAUCUUGUUUCCACUGAUCAUCAUGGUGAACUACUUCUUUUUCUCUUUGGGCAGAGUCUCCAUGGUGCAUUGCUACAGUGAUAUUUGCCUUGCUUUAUUUAAUUGCUCUUGCACUAGCUGCAUUUAUGAUAGCUAAGGUUAAAUGUCUAGAAGAAACUCUGAAUACAUAUCAAAACAAUACGUCAAAUGUGCCUGGACGCUGCAACACAAUAUAGCAAAACCGAGGUAACUGGUCCUUCUCUGAAGAAAACUGAUAUCUUAUUUCUGCUGAAAAUAAGAUCUUGGCAGCAAGGAAAUUGUCCUGAAGCCCUGAGCUCCAGUCUUAUCAAGAAAUAUAACAAAGAAGAAUUGGAAAUGUAUGGCACAAUAACCCUUCCCACAUUUUCUUAUACGGAAGAUAAUUAUAGAGACAUUUUAACAUUAUGUGUUCAUUCAAGCAUGCUAAACUCAACAUAUUGUAAUAAUUGAUUGGAGAUCUCUUAAUCAAACCCAAACAUCAAAAUAUGGGCUUAAAUGGUUAUGUGAUUUUUAAAUUUUAAAUGUAUUUGUACAUAGAAGUAAAUGCUAAUAUAUUAAAAUCUCAGACCCUGGUAAAUAAAUAAGAGGAAACCACAUAGCA
rnacentral:lncRNA from 1 species